AGCUCCAAAAGCGUAUAUUAAAGUUGUUGCAGUUAAAACGCUCGUAGUCGGAUUUCGGGGCGAGCCUGCCGGUCUGCCGAUGGGUAUGCACUGGCAGGGUCGUCCUUCCUUCCGGAGACUGUCCCUACUCUUAACUGAGCGGGGUCGGGAGACGGAUCGUUUACUUUGAAAAAAUCAGAGUGUUUCAAGCAGGCAGCUCGCUCUUGCAUGGAUUAGCAUGGGAUAAUGAAAUAGGACUUUGGUGCUAUUUUGUUGGUUUCGAACACCGAAGUAAUGAUUAACAGGGACAGUCAGGGGCACUCGUAUUCC
rnacentral:rRNA from 1 species